GAUGAACGCUGGCGGCGUGCCUAAUACAUGCAAGUCGAGCGAACAGACGAGGAUCUUGCUCCUCUGACGUUUGCUGCGGACGUGUGAGUAACACGUGGAUAACCUACCUAUAGGACUGGGAUAACUUCGGGAAACCGGAGCUAAUACCGGAUAAUAUAUUGAACCGCAUGGUUCAAUAGUGAAAGACGGUUUUGCUGUCACUUAUAGAUGGAUCCGCGCCGCAUUAGCUAGUUGGUAAGGUAACGGCUUACCAAGGCAACGAUGCCUAGCCUACCUGAGAGUGUGAGCAGCCACACUCGAAAUGAGGCAAGGGACACGCGUCUCAGGGCGGCACCAGUUGGGACUCCUCCGCAAGGCGCCAAAGCCCAGAGGGACAACCGCGCCAAGGUCAUGGAAGUCUUUGGGUCGUAACACUCUGUUACUAGGGAAGAACAAAUGUGUAAGUAGCUAUGCACGUCUUGACGGUACCUAAUCAGAAAGCCACGGCUAACUACAUG
rnacentral:rRNA from 1 species